rnacentral:rRNA from 1 species
UGCCAGCCGCCGCGGUAAUACGGAGGGUGCUAGCGUUGUUCGGAAUUACUGGGCGUAAAGAGCGUGUAGGCGGCCUUUCAAGUCUGGUGUGAAAGCCCGGGGCUCAACCCCGGAAGAGCAUUGGAUACUGUUUGGCUAGAGUACCGGAGAGGAGGGUGGAAUUCCUGGUGUAGCGGUGAAAUGCGUAGAUAUCAGGAGGAACACCAGUGGCGAAGGCGGCCCUCUGGACGGAUACUGACGCUGAGACGCGAAAGCGUGGGGAGCAAACAGGAUUAGAUA